GGAAACAGGUGCUAAUACCGCAUAAGCCCACAGUGCCGCAUGGCACAGCGGGAAAAGGAUUUAUUCGCUUCAGGAUGGACUCGCGUCCAAUUAGCUAGUUGGUGAGGUAACGGCCCACCAAGGCGACGAUUGGUAGCCGGACUGAGAGGUUGAACGGCCACAUUGGGACUGAGACACGGCCCAGACUCCUACGGGAGGCAGCAGUGGGGGAUAUUGCACAAUGAGGGAAACCCUGAUGCAGCGACGCCGCGUGGAGGAAGAAGGUUUUCGGAUUGUAAACUCCUGUCGUUAGGGACGAUAAUGACGGUACCUAACAAGAAAGCACCGGCUAACUACGUGCCAGCAGCCGCGGUAAUACGAU
rnacentral:rRNA from 1 species